rnacentral:misc_RNA from 1 species
GUGAAUCAUCAAAUUUUUGAACGCAAAUUGCACUCUCCGGUUUUCCGGGAGAGUAUGCCUGUUUGAGGGUCUGUUUAAAAAAUAAUCGAGGCUGCUGCUGUGGUGGCUCUUCGGAAUUGGGUCAUCUUUCACCUUUCGGUUGUAAGCGACCUAAAAUUUUUUUUCGGUUUCUUCGGACGGUUCUAAGGAUUUCUUUGUAGGUCCAG